AGUGAACGCUGGCGGUAGGCCUAACACAUGCAAGUCGAACGGCAGCACAGUAAGAGCUUGCUCUUACGGGUGGCGAGUGGCGGACGGGUGAGGAAUACAUCGGAAUCUACUUUUUCGUGGGGGAUAACGUAGGGAAACUUACGCUAAUACCGCAUACGACCUACGGGUGAAAGCAGGGGAUCUUCGGACCUUGCGCGAUUGAAUGAGCCGAUGUCGGAUUAGCUAGUUGGCGGGGUAAAGGCCCACCAAGGCGACGAUCCGUAGCUGGUAUGAGAGGAUGAUCAGACACACUGGAACUGAGACAGGGUCCAGACUCAGACGGGAGGCAGCAGUGGGGAAUAUUGGACAAUGGGCGCAAGCCUGAUCCAGCCAUACCGCGUGGGUGAAGAAGGCCUUCGGGUUGUAAAGCCCUUUUGUUGGGAAAGAAAAGCAGCAGGUUAAUACCCCGCUGUUCUGACGGUACCCAAAGAAUAAGCACCGGCUAACUUCGUG
rnacentral:rRNA from 1 species